rnacentral:lncRNA from 1 species
AUUUACUUAGAAUAAAUAAUUUGUUUAUUAGAUACUGCUUUUCUGAUUUUUUUUAUUCUAUAAAAGUAUUUAGAUAAUAGCUCCUUCAACUUGAAUUAUUAUGUAAAUUCAUAAAAGCUUUCAAAUACGGUAUUGUUCAUUACUCUUCCAAGCAAAUUCAUAAAAUUUGUUGUUCAUUAUCAUCAUUAAAUCCUUACCUCUUGUGAUUAGUUACUGGUAUCCUAAAUUCUCAGCAACUCUUGCAAACAUCUAAAAUUCCAAUUACCAUACCUGUUCCUUUAAGUCGUCCAUCUCCUAGUGCAAAAGGCCAAUGCUAUAAAACUCCUAAUCCCAAUUGUUUCUCAACUUUUAAGGAGGCUUUUCAACUUUUGUCAAGAAUUAGCAAACCUCUGAAUCCAUGCAAAACAAGCAAGGUGUAGCCUUUAAUUUUUGCUAUUGUUUUUAUUUAUUUAGUUAUUUAUUGUCUUGUGUAUUUGCCAGCAGGGUGGGGCCCUUUGUUUAUUACGAACAGACAGAGGGUUAUAUUUCUUUGUAUUUAUGGACAGGAAUUUAAAGAAUGUAGAUACCAUGGGCUACAAUGUUUAGUUAAAUUGAAUAAAAGAGGUUGGCAUUCAUUGCAACUUUGAAGGCACUGGCAGACAUAUGUUAAAGAAUUCGACUAAGCCAAAUCGACCACAUUGCAAUGAAAGAUGAAAAUAGUUUUAUUGUUUUAUAGCCGCUAGUUAACGUCUACACCCCAAAACAUUACUGUCAAGAUGCAUACAGUGUAAAAACACCUUACGAUAUUGAAGAUAUGGGUACCAUCCUUUCUAUCAGUUUAAUAUUCAUUUUCAGACCAUAGCUGAGCUGAGCUGAGCAUGUCCUGCUGAUGGAACUAUGAUAGUCAGUUCAUGAACUGGUUUCAUUUAGCACAAAAAGAUGCACACAUUGAAAUCGGCAAAGAAAUUCUAAGAAAGCUCACAGCUCACAAUCUAUAGAUUUUUUUUUUUCAUUGCAAGGCAUGAUGGUUGCCGAUAUGAAGGAUUUUACAACUAAUGAAGAUCCCAUGAAACCAGAAAGCUUAAAGCAUGUAUAUAGUUCUUGAAAGUUUAGAUUAGAUGAACUCGAAAAGAAUAUAGACUAUGGCAUGCGUGUUGAUCACAGAAAAACUGUCCCACACUACUUGAAUAUGCUAAUAUUGGACCUAAAAAGCAAUUGUUACCAGACACAAGGCUUGUCCCUAUUAUUGGUGAAAAUAUUUGAUCUCACCUUUCCAGACAAAACUAAGAAAGACGUAUGGUCAAGUCAAGUGGGCUUCAUGUCCUGAAACAGUGCUGCCCAUAUUGUAUGAUCACCGUAGUCCAAGCCUGCCUUUUCUUUGUUGUAGUCACCAUGAACCUUUGGGCUCGGUCGUCUUACAUAACUAAGAGGUCCAGGCAGUUUUGGGCUCCUAUUUGUGAACAUUAACCUCUUGUGCCGUGGCAAUAUCAAUAGGGCCUGUUGUUAUCGGCCACCUAUAAUUGAACACCAACUUCUCCUGCAUUUUUCUAGCUUGGGGCUGGGAUAAUUUUAUUCUCAUUUAACACUAAAUUUUGGACAAAUCCCUUACCUAAAGCUAUGAGCAGGCCUACAACUAUGGGAAUAGAUCAGACCUGAUCAUUCCCUUGAGCCCAACUUCCUUUGAGUUUGGUCAGCAGCUCAUUGCAAUUAUAAAAUUUAUAAUUUUUUAUUCAGGAGCUUAAAAAAUUUUCUUCUUUUUUGGAUAAAUCAGUAUAAAUUUUUUAAAAUUCUACUAAAUUUAUAAAAUUUACAAAAAAUUUAAAAAUAUUAUACAAAUUUUUUGUCAAGACGAAAUCUAAAUCGUUGAAGGAAGAAUAAACAUAUACUAUUUAUUGAUAAAAAACUCCACUAAUUUAUAUUCUUUUAAAAAAUAUACCUUUUAAUUAUACAUAGCUGAGAAAAAUAACAAAUUAUUAGUAUACCUAUUUCUCUUAGUAAUUAAGUUUUAAAAAAUGCAUAUUUAUCAAAUAUUUAACAAAAAAUAAACAAAUAUCAUCAUAUAAUGAAAUCAAUAAUUAAAUAAAGAAUAAAUUAUAUAUUCUUAUUCCCUUGCAUAACUGAUAGUUUUUUAGUUUGCAAAUAAUUUGUGUCAGUUGACGCUAAGUCAAAGUCUAUUGAUAGACUAUAAACCAUUCAUCAAGUAGAAGCAAGAAACACGGCAAACAAUGUAAUAAAGAUGACUUUUUGUUUAUUUGACUACUUCCACACCAAAUUUAUAUAUUCCAAGAAAGAGAGAGGAGGAAUCCACCAUCCUAUCAUGAGGUUGGCGUGUAAACCUAUCCAUACGUUCCAUGGUUGAUGCCAAAGUCAAGGUCUCCUAAAUAAUAAUACAGUUGCUAAACAAAAGUCUAGCAUCACCUAGUCAUGGCAAUGAAUAUACGUUCCAUCUUCCUCCCUAACUUGAUAUAGGUAGAAAAGUUACAAUGGGCCAUAAUGUCUCCCCUUAGUUGUGGAAAUAUUUAAUAUUGACAUGGAAUUUGACAAUAACCCUAGCAAGGUUAGCAAAUAAAAAAAAAAAAAACUAAAUAGAGGCAUUGCUUAGUAUGGGGAUAAAAAAUAAAAAAUAAGAUAAAAAUAAAAUAUAAAAAAUAUAUAUUUUAUUUUUAUCAAUGUGCUUUGUUAAAAAAAUGAAAAAGAAAGAAAAUGUAAUUUUUCAUGCAUUGUUUGGUAGAGUUAGAAAAUGGAAGAAAAAAAAUUAUGAUAUUAUUAUUAUAACCUUUUGUAAAAAAAUUUAAAUAUGAUGGAUAAUUUUAUAAAUAUGUAACACAUUAUUAUAGCCGAGAAAAAUAACAAAUUAUUAGUAUACCUAUUUCUCUUAGUAAUUAAGUUUUAAAAAAUGCAUAUUUAUCAAAUAUUUAACAAAAAAUAAGCAAAUAUCAUCAUAGCGAAAUCAAUAAUUAAAUAAAAAAUAAAUUAUAUAUUCUUAUUCCCUUGCAUAACUGAUAGCUUUUUAGUUUGCAAAUAAUUUGUGUCAGUUGACGCUAAGUCAAAGUCUUUUGAUAGACUGUAAACCAUUCAUCAAGUAGAAGCAAGAAACACGGCAAACAAUGUAAUAAAGAUAACUUUUUGUUUAUUUGACUACUUCCACACCAAAUUUAUAUCUUCCAGGAAAGAGAGAGAGGAGGAAUCCACCAUCCUAUCAUGAGGUUGGCGUGUAGACUGAUCCAUCGUUCUAUUUCAUAGUUGAUGCCAAAGUCAAGGUCUCCUAAAUAAUAAUACAGUUGCUAAACAAAAGUCUAGACAUCAACUAGUCAUGACAAUGAAUUAAUAUAUGUAAUAUCUUCCUCCCUAACUUGAUAUAGGUAGAAAAGCUACAAUGGGCCAUCAUGUCUCCCUUUAGUUGUGGAAAUAUUUAAUAUUGACAUGAAAUUUGGCAAUAACCCUAGCAAGGUUGGCAAACAAAAAAAAAUUACUAAAUAGAGGCCUUGCUUAGUAUGGGAAUAGAAAAAUAAAAAGAUAAAAAAUUGAAAGAAAAAAUUGAAAAGAUAAAAAAUAUAUAUUUUAUUUUUAUUGAUGAGCUUGGUUAAAAAAAUGAAAAAGAAAGAAAAUAUAAUUUUUUUCAUUCAUUGUUUGGUAGAGUUAGAAAAUGAAAGAAAAAAAAUAUGAUUUUAUUAUUAUAACAUUUUGUAAAAAAAUCUAAAUAUGACGGAUAAUUUUAUAAAUAUGUAACACAUGCUCAUACCUCUUCUAUUUUCUUUCAUCUUUUCUUUUACAUUUGGAGUGAUUUAUUUGUAUUAAUAAGUGUGAAAAAUAAUAAUCUUUUUUUUUAUUUUUCUUUUUUACCAAACAUAGCGAAAAUUUAUUUUUUUUCCACUUUUUCACCUUGUUUUAUUCAUCUUUUCACUUUUUUUACUAUGGAAUACAUCCUAAAAUUGUUUUAGCAACAAAAAAAAAAUGAAGCUGUUAAAAAGGAAACUAAAGUAUUCUAAAAAUUAAAUUAAAAAACAAAACAAAAGUUUUAAUAAGGAUUUACAAAGAAAAAAAAAAGUAAGCACUAAUUUUUGUUAGCAGUGUCACUACAAGUCAUUAAUGAUGUUAUAAUUAAGAUGGAGUGUUUAUUAUAAUUGUCAGAGUCUGUGCUUACUUUUCCACAAAGAAAAUUUGUAGGAAACUUCAUGCAAUGUGUUUUCUUGGUGCUAUGGAAUUUGACAAGUACGUCAAGACUGAGUGUGCCAUUUUCAAUGAAUUUUUAGGAAACAAGGCUGUAUCUUUUCAAGUGACUUUUUAGUAUAUAAACCCCAUGGAUAUAGUGAUGCCAAAUGCAUAGAAGCAUAGUUAAUAUUAAGUUUUUUUAGAGUGCAUUAAUUAAUUGAGAUGGAGUGGAAAUGGUUAUGGGUGGUUUUGGUAGCAUUCCUAUUAGGAAGGUGUUGUGAAUGUGAAAGGUGCUGGGAGCAAGAAAAAAUUGCUCUUUUGCAACUCAAACCUUUCUUUACUCAUAUUGAAGAUGUAAAAAAUUAUUGGGUGGAUGAGGGAAAACAGAGUUCAGAUUGUUGUCAGUGGAAAAGGGUUGAGUGCAACACCUCCACUGGACGAGUGAUCCGACUCUUCCUUAAUCUUACAACUACUGCAGUCUAUGGUGAUUUAGUUUAUAAUUAUUAUUUGGAAGAGUACGAUUGGAGUGGGAGAGAUUCUUGGUAUCUCAAUGCCUCUUUGUUUCUUCCUUUUGAGGAAUUGAAGAGUCUUUAUUUGGGUGGCAAUUCUAUUGCUAGUUGUGUUGACAAUCAAGGUUAAUUCAUAUUCACCUAAUUACUAACUGCUACUUCAAUAAGUAUUUUGCAUUUGAAAAUUCAUUUUUAUUGAUUACCAGUUUUGUUCAUCUUAUCUAAAUAUUUUUUAUUUCAGUUUUUUCGAAAAGUCACUAAAUGCUACAUUUUUCCUUGUAGGUUUUGAAAGGCUGUCACUGAAAUUGGACAAACUAGAGAUCCUUGACUUAAGUGUUAAUCAAUUCAAUGAUAGCAUUUUAGCAUCUUUAAGCGAACUUUCAUCACUCAAGUCUUUAAAUCUAGCAGAAAACCAAUUCACUGGGUCAAAUCCUAUAGAGGGUAAUGUUAAUAUUCUGUUAUAUAUAAAAAUCAAGUUAAAGUAAAUAACGUUUGUUUCGUAAUUGAAAUAUAUAUAUUUAUAAAAUAGUGAUUAUUUACUAAAAUUUUGUAAAAUUAUUGGAAACAGGUAUGAAGAGGUUAUCAAAAUUGAACAAGUUAGAGACUCUGGAUUUAUAUGGCAAUGUAUUAGGAAACAACAUCCUAUCACAUCUAGAUGAUUUUACAUCUUUAAAAUCUUUGCGUUUGCAGAAUUGCGGAUUAAAAGGAACUGUUAAUUUGCGAGGUAGGGUUGUUUUAAAAAUCUCAUGGUUUUAAAAAGGAAUAACUAGAUUGAUAUAUAUUUGAUUUGAUUUGAACAGAAUUCAAUAAUUUGACAAACUUAAAGGAGUUGUAUUUAGACCAAAAUCAAAUUGAGAGUCUCGGAUCUUUAUUCAAAGUGUAAGUCAACAUAUACUGAAUUUGAAUAAUAAAUAUAUAUAAUAAUUAGAUUUCUUUUAAGAUGAAAUUAUGUUACUAAUCUUUCACAGAAUGAACAAUUGAGGUUGAUCAAACUUGAGGUGCUUGGUUUAAGUGAAAAUCUCCUUCAACAACAGCAUAUUCUUAUCUCUUGCUAUGCUCUCAAAUUUGAAGUCUUUGUAUAUAGAAAGUAACAAAUUGGAUGGGCCGAUACANNNNNNNNNNNNNNNNNNNNNNNNNNNNNNNNNNNNNNNNNNNNNNNNNNNNNNNNNNNNNNNNNNNNNNNNNNNNNNNNNNNNNNNNNNNNNNNNNNNNNNNNNNNNNNNNNNNNNNNNNNNNNNNNNNNNNNNNNNNNNNNNNNNNNNNNNNNNNNNNNNNNNNNNNNNNNNNNNNNNNNNNNNNNNNNNNNNNNNNNNNNNNNNNNNNNNNNNNNNNNNNNNNNNNNNNNNNNNNNNNNNNNNNNNNNNNNNNNNNNNNNNNNNNNNNNNNNNNNNNNNNNNNNNNNNNNNNNNNNNNNNNNNNNNNNNNNNNNNNNNNNNNNNNNNNNNNNNNNNNNNNNNNNNNNNNNNNNNNNNNNNNNNNNNNNNNNNNNNNNNNNNNNNNNNNNNNNNNNNNNNNNNNNNNNNNNNNNNNNNNNNNNNNNNNNNNNNNNNNNNNNNNNNNNNNNNNNNNNNNNNNNNNNNNNNNNNNNNNNNNNNNNNNNNNNNNNNNNNNNNNNNNNNNNNNNNNNNNNNNNNNNNNNNNNNNNNNNNNNNNNNNNNNNNNNNNNNNNNNNNNNNNNNNNNNNNNNNNNNNNNNNNNNNNNNNNNNNNNNNNNNNNNNNNNNNNNNNNNNNNNNNNNNNNNNNNNNNNNNNNNNNNNNNNNNNNNNNNNNNNNNNNNNNNNNNNNNNNNNNNNNNNNNNNNNNNNNNNNNNNNNNNNNNNNNNNNNNNNNNNNNNNNNNNNNNNNNNNNNNNNNNNNNNNNNNNNNNNNNNNNNNNNNNNNNNNNNNNNNNNNNNNNNNNNNNNNNNNNNNNNNNNNNNNNNNNNNNNNNNNNNNNNNNNNNNNNNNNNNNNNNNNNNNNNNNNNNNNNNNNNNNNNNNNNNNNNNNNNNNNNNNNNNNNNNNNNNNNNNNNNNNNNNNNNNNNNNNNNNNNNNNNNNNNNNNNNNNNNNNNNNNNNNNNNNNNNNNNNNNNNNNNNNNNNNNNNNNNNNNNNNNNNNNNNNNNNNNNNNNGGAAAAAUGGGACAAACUCUUAAAGCCGAAAGAUGAAGUCCCAUCACUCUUUCAGAUAAGAUAGCCUGUGUUUUUGCACCAUAGGAAUGAACUAAACUCUGGGUCUCUUUGGGCCUUAACACUGAGCCUAGCCACUCAGUUCAAAGCAACCUCAAUCCUUAUUGCUUAACAGCUGAAGAGCUAAGUUCCAUUUAAUUUGAUGUUUUGGUUAUUUAUUUUUUGAAAAAAAAUGAACAAAAAUAUCAAGCAAAAGAACCUAAAUUAAAAUUUUCAUGCAUGCCAUGAACCAGUGGUUUAUAACCCGUCGGUGAAGCUUGACAUUAACAAAACAAAAGAAUUUUCUGUUCUUCAUGAGAGAGAUGCAUUACACUUAGAGAAAAUGGUCAAGGUGAAAAGAAAGUCAUUCCUUGUGCAUUGCUAUAGACUGCAUUGCACAAAGAUUCAAGCCUAGGGAUAACAAACAUAAUGUACAAAAUUUAGCUAUGUUACUCAAAAUAUACAAGCAAAUUAACAACCUGCUAAUUGGACUUGGUGUCCUAUCCACCCUUGUAUAGGCCUUCCGAUCUAGCAUCGUACCGUUUAGUAUAAACACGGUGCCUUCUCUCUCUUGCAUAGAUUACCCAGAAGAUCAAUGACAGCAUCACAGCAGCAGAUACAAUUACUAAUCCAAUGUAGAUCCAUUGACUAUAGCGCCACAGACCAGGACAAUAAUCAUGACUGAUAUCUGUGAAUGUAUCACGCACAAAAGUGCAGUCUUGCAAAUUAACCAGGAAUGGACCAUAGCGAUACAAACCAUUACUGACAUUCACUGCAGCUGACAUCUGAGUGUAAAAUUGAGGGGUCAGCCGUCCACGCGUUGAACAAAUCCCAGAGGAUGACACCUGACAGGUAUAGUUCUUCCAAACCUGUUUGAAACAGAUAUAGGCGGUCAUUUAACUUUAGUUAUAAACAUUCAGAAGAAAACUGAAAACGUUAUAGUGAAAAGUUUUUGGAUAGGCAGAAGCAUGGAGAUAGGCUGAGAAACUAAAACAAUAAAUAGAUUCUAAAACUUUUAAGUCUUUUUACCCAAACAUAAGGUUAUUACUGCUCCAAACAAAGCCAGAAGUCACAGCUAAACACCUUAAAUGACAGAGUUUUUCCCUUUUAUGUCAUCAUCUUCAUCGUCUCCUAGUAAUGAAAUCUUAAUCUUCCUUGCUGUUCUGUCAGUUUACGUACUUAUUAGAACUAAUAAUCUAUCUUCUAAUAAGACCAGUUGACCUCAAGAAUUUAACAACUUUAACCUAUGUUAUGUGUUAAUAUUAUUGUCCAUGGCAGGUUUGCGCAAGCUUAUCAUGUUGGAUCUGGAAGGAUGUAAACUUACCGCUGCGUGCUUGGAUCCAUCUCAGGUGCAUUUUCUUAUUAGUAGCCUUUUCAGUGAUACCUAUAAUUGUACAAUUACUUGCUGCUAUACAUUGAAAUUGGUUGUACCUUCAAACGUAACCAUGUGUGGUUUGUGUGGCAAAUUGGUUAGCGGAUGUAAUGUCUUAUAGUUUGGAGAUUAUUGUUGGACGAGGAUAAACUCUCUAGCAUUAUCAUGCAGUAGAAGAUCAACUAUACCAUUAUGCAACAAACAAUGAAUUGUUAACAAGUCAUGGAGUUUGUAAAGUGAAUACAUUGAGCUAUUACUGAAUUUCCUGGAAGUAUAAUAAUUUUCAUAUGUUAUGCAAUUAUCUUGUAAUUUUUUCCUGCCUAUGAAGCAGGGAUUGGGAUUGGAAUAGUUUAUUCAAUUAGAUACCAGAGAACAUAUAUCAUGUUCAGUUCAUUAAAGAAAUUAUUUAUUCUAUCUGCAGCUCUUGUUGCUUUGGCAUACUUAAAUCUUGGAAGAUGUGGCCUAACUGAUGAUGGAUGUGACAAGUUUUCUGGUGAGUUGUAGUUGAUAUCUUUUAGCCCUUUGUUGUAUUGAAUAAUCACAUAGAACGAUUGCAUGGCUAAGUAUAGUUAGUAAUGUUUACAGUAUUUACCACUCAUUUGCAGACUUAAGAAUUUGAAGGUAUUGAACCUGCCAUUUGACAUAUAACAGAUGCAUGUUUUAGCGCACCUAAAAGGUUCUCUCUCUUUCCCCUUUGUUACUGCAUUGUGGUCCGUUGGUUAACUUUUACUGGGAGUGGACCAUUUGCAUUCUUUCUUUGCAUUGAACAACUUCUAGAGGGCAGUGCAAGUUAAUGAAUUUUACUAGGUUAGCUCAGUGAAUUGCACCGUUGCUUUCCAUAAAUCAUGACAAUUGUAAGACCUUACUAUUGUUAAAGUUAGUGGCUAUUGAUUUGUAUUUCAGACCUACAACAACAACAACAAAAAACUAAGCCUUAUAUCCCACAACUUUGAAGUCGGUUGUAUGAAAGGCCAAAAAAAAGGAAUCAUGUUACGUCAUAGUUUUGAAUUUUCUUGCACCACUCAUUUCUAUAAAAAACAGCCUUUUCAUCUACUUCCUUAAGUCUAAUAUCAUCUCUUAUUACUUGCAUCCAUGUCUUUCGUGGUCUACCUCUAGAAGCUUUGGUCACCCCCAAAUCCAAAAGCUCAUUUCUUCUAAUUGGUGCACAGAUAGGCCUACAUUUCAGACUUUAUUCAGAAAAAAGUUAUGAUCUAACUAUAAUAAUGAUAUUUGCAACCUCAUGCUUUCAAUUUUGACAAAUAUUAUGCUGUUCACUUGAGAACACAAGAUGAUAGUUAAUAAUUUUGACACAAAGAUUGUCUGAGGCGACCUUCACUUACAGAUAGUGGUUUCAAUGCAUCACUGAAGGUUUAAAAAGUCUGAUAAUGCUAUGAUAACUGAUUUCUGGUUCAUUUUCUGUAUGUGAUUGGUUGACUAUCAAAAAAGAUACUCGUCCUAAUAAUUUUUCUUGCAGUUCUACUGUGAAAUAAAGAACCUUUGGUCCAAAGAGUGGACAAUUUUCAUUCUGAUUCCAUAUUUUUUUAUGCUUGCCCUUAUGUACUCAUGCUUGUUUGCAGUUUAUUGUUGAUAAGAAUUUGAAUAAAUGAGACCAUUGAUCCUUUGGUUUAUUUUACAUUUGAUUCUGGUCUCUUGUUUAUUUGAAAUGGUGAUAAGUUUGUUUGAUAUGGUAUAUCUUUCUUUGCAGGAUUAACAAAGUUGGAGAGCCUGAAUAUAGAUUCAUGUAAAAUUGGUGAUGAAGGCCUUGCUAAUUUGAUAGGUUUCUAUAUCAUGUUUCAUUUUGCUGCUAGUUAAACUGUUAUGUUGGGAGGAUCUCUGUUUGCUUUAAACAUUUUCAUGACCUAGUUUAUCUUGUGAUUUGCUCUUCAGGCCUUUCACUCCUCAAAAGUCUAGAGUUGUCUGAUACUGAAGUUGGAAGCAGUGGGCUCCGAUACCUCUCUGGUUAGUAAUCUAUCUCUUAUCAUCUUGCUUGUGUGUGAUAUGACCCUUGAUAUUAGCUAUAAGCAUGACACAAUUUCAGUGAUACUUUUAGAAACCUAUCUUCCGGUUAGCCCCGCUCUUACCUAUAAAAUUGUUCACAGAUUUUGUUAAGUUGCUUUUCUUUGAGGAAUCAUCUUUUUUAUUGAGUUAACAAGAUAUACAUUUGAAAUGGUUCUUUUACUUGGAUUUCUUUGACUUAUUGCUCCAUUUCUGUUUCCUUCUGUAUAUGAUGAUGUGUUGGAGAAAAGAGAAACAUUUGAUACUUUCGGUUCUUCCAUAUAUACGUUUUUUCAUUUGUUUCUGAAAUUUUAUUUAUGCCUUACACAUUGACACUGGAUGUCAGCUGAAUAUAUGUUAAUGAAUAGAAUGUAUUACAGAAUUCACGGCAAUCAUAUUGUUAUAGUGUUUGCUUCAUCAAUGACCUAACAAGGCAAAGCAACAAAUCUUUAAGAUUAGGGUUGUGGUGUUAUAAACCAUCUAUUAUGAUCCUUGCUCUUUUCCACAUGGUUCUUUAUUAAAUUAUAUGUUCUUGGUUUCAAUUUUUUCUGAAAUUUUCAGUGCAUUAUAAUGUUAAAUGCAUGAUGCUGACUUGGUUCUGUUAUAUUAGGAUUGACACAUCUGGAGACCUUGAAUUUAUCAUUCAGUUUAGUGACUGAUAGUGGUUUACAAAAGUUGUCUGGAUUUACUGCUCUUAAGUCACUUAAUCUGGAUGCUUGCCAAAUUACAGAUGCGGGGCUGUUGGCUCUGACAAGUUAGUACUUUCACUUAUUUCUUUGUAACAUUCUUCUAACUUUGUGCAUCUAAGUUGGAGACAUUCUGGUGUGCCUUUGAUCCUAUUUAUGGCUUUUUGAAAUCUUAUGGUUGUAUCUUUUGGUUGAAGUCUCUUUGCUGUCUUUGUGGAGUGAAGAAAUUUGGAGCUAUAUUUUUCCUUGAUUUUUUUGUUUUACAAGGUGACCACUGUGAAAUGUAGGUUGUCGACCCCUUUUUCCUUGCCUUAGAUUGUUACCGGAUAGCCAGGUUUGGAGUCAUAAAUUUUGCUGAGCUUUCAGCUAUGAAUGUUUCCUUAUAUAAAAACAUUGUGUCUCUAGAUGGAGAAAUCUUUGAAAGCAAAUAAAUAAUUUUUGAACAGAUCAGAGAACUCUGAUUCAUUAUUGACAUUACAUGAAAGUAAAUAAAUAAUAACUUAAAAAUCCAUGGACUGGAUCAUUCAUUUUUUGUGUUAAGAUGGCAAAUUUCUUACCUUAUUUUCAUCCGUGGCUAUUGGUGUAUAGCUGUAUAUUGAAACCUGUUUCAUAAUGUUAUUCACCACUCAGGUCUAGUGUAUUCUUCCGUUUUAAGAAUCUUAUAUCAAUUAUUGCUGCACCAAGAUGUCUGUAGUGACAUAAUUCAUUUUCCAAAAGCUAAGUCUAAGUGGGCACCAAAUUGCUGCUCCAUUGUCAAUAUUUUAUUCACACUUCUCUAUCUUUCUUCAUUGUGUAAUGUUUUAAGGAUGUAUGAAGUCAUCACAUUUCUGAUUUUGCUGAUGCAGGUUUGACUGGACUGAUGCAUCUGGAUCUUUUUGGGGCUAGGAUUUCGGACACUGGAACAAAUUAUUUGCGAUGUAUGUCAAAAAUAUUGACAUUGCUUAAAUAAUUAAAAUUGCAAGUUGCUUAAUGGACCAUUUUUCUUGUUUGAAAAACUUGAAUCUAUCAUUUUGUCAUAUUCAAGUUUUAUUAUAGCUUUUAACCUUUGAUGUUUUCUUUUUGUUUGUUUGAAAAACUUGAUUGUUUUGGUUUGCUCUUUGCCUUGAAGACUGGAUAGUUUGGACAUACAUACUUGAGGAAGUUCAGGAGUAACUUUGAGAAAUAUAAGGUCCUUUUAGUUGAUUUAUUGAGGUGUAUUUAUAUCUCCAAUGGUAGGAUAAUCGGUAGGCUCAUGAGAACUUUUAGAAUCAUGUUUAUUAAAAGGUUGUUAUGGUCUUCAUCAAUAGGCCUAAUAUUGAGUUUGGCAUAAUCUCAUUUUCAUUGUAAACUUUUCUCAAGAAUUUUGUUUUACAUGUUCUAAUUUUGUGUUAAAUGUUCUUGCACCUGCUUGUUUUCAUGUUAAACAGGCUUCAAGAACCUCCAAUCCCUUGAAAUAUGUGGAGGUGGUUUAACUGAUGCUGGGGUGAAAAAUAUCAAAGAUCUUUCCUCUUUAACGCUAUUGAACCUUUCACAAAACUGCAACCUGACAAACAAAUCCUUGGAACUGAUUUCAGGUAAGUUUUGCUUUUAUUCCUCAUGGUUUUAUUGUGUUUGUUUAGCUUCUUUUUUUUCUCCUUUUUUGGCCAUUGUUAGUGCAAUUCUUGAAUAGAACAAACCUUGCUAUGCUUGUAUAGAAAAUGAUACAGAGACAUAUAUAAAUAAGACAGCUACUUGUAUCUCUAGUGUCAGAUUAUCUCAUCUGGCAAUUGUCCCGCUUGGCAUUCUGCUGCAGGACCAGUGAUUUGCAGUACUUUUGCUACUGUCUAGUAACUUGGUCAUGUAUGAUUAGUUGGUCCAAGAAAUGUCUAAACACGCAAAGAUGAACGGGCAGUCAGUAAAACUGGUGAAUUGAGAGCUUAUUUGGGGCCUUCUAAUAGUGGCUUCUGAAUGUGAAAGUAUUCUAGUCCAUGGCUUCCAUCUGUCUGUGCUCUGAUAAAGUCAGUGAGAUCUUCUAAUCAUGGAUUUUCAUUUUCUGGUGUAAAUGCAGGCCUGACCGCAUUGGUGUCGUUAAAUGUUUCAAAUUCUUACAUAACUAAUGAUGGUUUGCUGUAUUUAAAGCCUCUAAAGAAUUUACGGUCGCUAUCUUUGGAAUCCUGCAAGGUAACUGCCUCUGAAAUUAAGAAGCUCCAGUCAACUGCCCUUCCCAAUCUUGUCAGCUUUCGACCAGAAUAAUAUUGCUGGGGCAACUGCAACCUAUGCUGUAAAUAGCUGCUAUCACCUGGAGAUAGCUCUCUCAACAAUUCAAUAAAUAUAUGUUAAAACGUGAAAGGCUGCCUUACUAAUGGGGUCAGGGUAAUUGUGCUAAUUAUAUGGACAGUCAAUGACAGGUGAUUGAAAAUAUGUUUGGCUGCUGAAUUUGACAUUACCUCUUUUCUUGUUUCAAAAACAAACAAAUUUUGUACAUAUAAAUUUUAUGUUAAUUAACUAUUUUCUGCACAUUGUCUUCCAAGUUUUCAUCUGGAGAUUCAAAACAGAAGGCAAAAACCAGAGGGGAAGAGGUUUGACUGUGAGUUGCACUCAAUCUGAGUAACUUGUUUCAGGGUAUGGUCUCAAUCACAAGCAUGUAAGCAGAAUUACAUGUUUGAAUGUUUGAUGAAAUGGAAGCAAAAGCUGAAAAUAAAUCCUCAAUCCUCAAUAACAUAUAGUACAACGAGAGAGUCUAUGUUCCUCAAUCCAGUGCAAAAAUCUAUUUCUUCAAAACUAGAAAUCAAAAUGAGAAACUUGCAGCUAGAAAUAACAAAUCAAUCAGGUAAGCAACAGCAAUCUCUAAAUUAUUUGCAACUAAAUAAUAAAUUCAGCUUGUAUAUCAAUCAGGUAAAAAAUAAUAAACCUAGUGUUGUAAUAGAAUGAAGCAAACAUUAGAUGUCAAUUGUCUUCCAGUAGCCUGAGAUUGAUGCCUACUUCAAAUCUUGGGCUUUUUACCUGGCAAUAUGAUGAAUUUACCAUGCUUACAGUAAAUUUUUUUGUGAUAAGUUUUUCAGUUUAUCACAGGGUAAAAGAACAAAAAAAAAACAGUAAUAAUUAAGGAUUUGGUUUUGCCAAGGAAAAUUAAUUACCGGACGUGGACCAUAAUAUGAGGCUUCAACCUUAUCUGGAGUAACAAAAAUUUCAUGUCAAAGUGCGACGAAUGGACCAAGGAUCAGUUUCAUCAGAACUGCUUAAACCAUAGGGUUUAAUUUGAGCUUAUUGGGCCUCAAGCCCAACCAAAAAACUUUAGGGCUCUAACGGGUAAUACGCGGAGUAUUUAUGCUGUCUAUAUAUAUCGGAUCCAGAUUCAAAAUUUGAAACCCAAGACGAUUAAUUUUUACUGUUUUUAUUUUCUUCGUAUUUCUUUCUUUUGUCAUUCCUCAAAAAAAAAACUCCUUUUUGUGUUUUUUUAUCCUAAGCAAACUCUCCAACAGAUUUCGCUUUCUUCUUAGGCUGAUAGUGAUAGUCUCAGAUUUGGCAACAGCUUCAGCACUACUCUGAGUUCCCUGAUUUCAACAACUAUCUCGUUUUUAUCCCUUCUCGAGCUGAGCUUUGCUUCUUUUCCUCUCUCCGUUUGUUUUCUCAGUAACUAGUUUAGUAGAGUUUUCUUUUCCGGAUUUCGUUUUUUUUUUUUUUUUUUGAGGAAAAGGAUUUUGGGUAUUGAUUUGAUUGUACGGUUUUUAUUUCUUUAAUGAAAUUUCUUUUUAUUGGAUUGUGUUUCUCUAUAGAAUAUUUGAAUUUGGUGACUAUAGGUUUAAUAAUUCUGUAAUAGAAUUUGCAAAGAUUGUAUAUUUAUUGGAUUAACAGCAUUUUGGGUAUUGUUAGUGGUGAAUUUCUGCUGGCCUACCUAUUUGCUAGUGGUGAACAAGCCUCGAAAGAUAGGGAAGCUGCUGUUUUGGCUCUUGGUGCAACUGGUGAAGGUUGCGUUACUGGUCUUUAUUCUCAUUUGUCCGAGGUAAUUCUUGUUGUUUUUAACCGGUACACAAAGUUUAGAGGCAGAUUACAAGGUGAAGAAUAAAUGGUGCAUAUAUAACAGUCAUCGGUUUUCCUUAACUCAAUUUAUGCUCUUAAAUUUUUUAUUUUUGCUAUUGUAUUGCUUUUACUUUAUUCUUCUUUGACAUGCUUGCCGCAGAAUUUGAAAAAAAAAAAGUCAAAUUUAUGUCUGCAUAUUGUGGCAUUUCUAUGUCCCCUUUUAGAUCAUGCGGAAGAAUUCUUCUUGGACACUUUCUCGAUUCAGUUCAGGUGUGGAUUAAAAUUGCUCCAUUGGUUGUUUCUCCUCAUGCCUAUUUUCCUUCUGUUUGAUGCUGUUUGGCUGUUAAUAUAUUUUUUUAAUCUAAUAAAUAUAUAUAACCACCAUGACCAUUUUUGCAUCUUAUGCCUUUUAUUUUCUGUUUUUGGCACGUAGCACUCCUAAAGUACUUUUUGUUGUUUUGUCCAUGCAUUGGAUUUUGUAGUUGAGAGCUUUCGUGUUUCCUUUAUAUCAGUCUAGUGGGCAUCAGAAAGGCUAUGAGCAAUUUGAUGCUGUAUGGGUAUGCUGCGAAGAAUAUUGGAUGCUAACAAGUGGGUAAAAGAGGCUGUUUAACCGGCUUUUGCAAUGCUUGAAGAGGUUAUUAUAAACUUGCUGCACGUUGUAAUUCAGGUUAAAUUCUUAUAGAUUUCAACAAUUGUUUUAUUCAUUUGAGGCUGCUGAAGAGGUUGCACCAAGUUUGGAAAUAAUUGUGUACACUAGCUUAUGCGCGUGCUUUUGUCUAACAUCAGGUUUUUUUGGCUGGCCUUUACAUUAUAAUAAGCUCCUUUUACUGUUGCAAUUAUGACUUAUGAAAGCCUAUUACUAUAUUUUUUAUUUUGUAUGCUGCUUUAUCAAAAUAUAAGUUGCUAAUAUCUCAAAAAAAAAAAAAAAAGUUGCUAAUUAUGUUUCUUUUCUAUAUGCAGUUUUUUGAGUUGCUUCUCUGAGAAAGCUUUAAUUGGGUUCAUUAAGUUUUAUAUUCUUACUUUUAAUGGAUGUCAUUCUGAUACUUUUUGAUGUUAUACAUUAAUUUAUUGAAGGCUUGGUGUACAUCCUUGGAUAAACACCUUCCAGGUUUGUUUGUCCUUGCUUAUGACCUUGCAGCAGAAGUGCUGAAAUUGGUCAAUAGUUUCUUGUUUUCUUCUUGUACUCUUGUUUUUUAUUAUAAUUCUGUUGUUUGCUUGGAAUACUCAAAUCUGCUGUAAGUAUUUCCUAAUUUUGCUUAUAAUUUACUGUAACUUCAAGUCUAUAAAAGCUUGGUAUGAAUCAUUUUUCAUUUCUGACUUUCCAGUUUCAGCAUUGAUUUAGAAGAUGUAGUAUUGGAAUUAGACAUUUUUUUAUCUAGUCCUUGAUGUUAAUGGUUCUUGGGUUUUUUCUGUCACUAGACCAUAAAAUUGCUGGGCAUUGCUAAUAUAUGUUUUAACUAGAAUACUAUGAAAAGAACUGUUUCUGUUAACUUUUAAUAAGAGUUAACAUAAAAAUUUUUCUUUUUUUUUUUUUGGUUGAGCUGUUUGGUGUCCUAUUGAUUACAUACGGCUCUUAUGGGUCUCCUGCUGAGAAUAUUGGAUACAAGAGGCUGCUUCUUUGGAUUUUGCAAUGCUUGAAGAGGUUGUUAUAAACUUGCUGUACUACUUGCUGUAUUUUGGGGUUUAAAUCCUUAUAUAUUUGAACAAUUGUUUUAUUCAUUUGAGCUAAACAUGUUUUUAUCUAGUCGUUGAUGUUAAUGGUUCUAGGUUUUUUUUCUAUCACUAGACUUUAAAGCUCAUCGGACACUGCUAAUAUAUGUAUUACGUAGAAUACUACAAUAAUAGCUGUUUCUGUCUCCUACAAAAUUUUUAGUAUUUUGAGUUAUUGAAUGAAUUGUUGAAGUUAUCUCGUUCCUUUUAAGCUCGAUCAUUUUUAGAUCAAUGUUUUUUGCCUAAUGAUCAGGCUUGUGUAGCAUUUGGUCAGCUAAUUGAAGUCCGCCCAUCUUUUCUGGAGGUGGGUAUCUUUUGUUUGUUACAUUUUAGUUUUCUUACAUUUUCUUAUUGCAGUUCUUUUAGUAGCAUGAAGUGUUACCUUUUUUUAGUAUCUAUGUCAUACACUUGUUUCUUUUUAUGCAUAACACUCUGUGAUGUGAUUUUUAACUAUUUGACAGCCACACUUGAAGAAUGUAAGUGGAUAUAUGUUGCAAGUCAAUAAAGGCAUUGAUGAAUGAUGUGGCCCUUGAAACAUGUAAAUUUGGGUAACUUUCUUCUUUGUGCAUUCCAUGUCUGAAUGUCAUAUAUUUUAGAUUAAGAUGUCUUUUAAAACCAUUUUUUUAUACCCGUGUCUUUUAGUCUCAAUGUCAUAAACGUGUCUUUUCAUGCCUAUCCACCACCUUUUUUUUUUUGUUUUUUCUUGUGAUGUGAUUUUUAACUAUUUGACAGUCACAUUUGAAGAAUGUAAUUGAAUAUAUGUUACGAAUGAAUAAGGCCAUUGAUGAAUGAUGAAGUAGCACUUUAAGCAUGUGAAUUUUGGUAACUUUCUUAUUUGUGCAUUCGAUGUCUGAAUGUCUUAUAUGUAGAUUAAGAUGUCUUUUAAACCAUAUUUUUGAUAGCUUAUGCAGAUUGACAUGCUUCAAACUAAUAGUUUUUGGCAGAAUGCAAUAUCUCUUGAAUUUAGCCUUUUCUUUUACUUGCUCACCUCUGCUUGUUCACAUAACAUGUUUGUUAAACAUGUCAGAAGUGAUGGAGGUGUGCUUGCCCCUGUGCCUCUGCCUCUAUGUGCUAUCGAACUAUAGUUAUAAAAAAUUUUAAUAUUGUUGCCAUCAAUAUUAGUCUAAUAAUAAAAAUAUGUAAUAAAAAAUAAAAAUUAUUUAAAUUAAAAUUUAUAAGUAAAAUUAUUAAAGGCAUUUUAGUUAAUCAUUUUUAAUAUUUUUGGAAUUAAAAUUUUAUUAAGGUGAUUUGAGUCAGUCAUUUUUAGUACUUUUAAAGUUCAAACUUUUAUAUAAUAAAGAAUAGAUAAUAUAUAGAAUAGGAGAUGUGAGAUAAUAUUUUAAUGGAUGAUAUAUAGAUGAUUAAUAAAUUCAUAUAAUAAAGAAUAUGAUAUGUGAGAAAAUAUUUUGAUAUUGUUUGUAGAAGUUGAAAAUUCCAUUGAUCAUAUAUAAAAUAUAUAUUUAUAUUUACACUAAUGUAAAAGUAAAGACUAUUACAUAUUUUUCUAGCCUAUUAUUCAUAAAAGACUGAUAAAAAUAAGCCAAUUAUUUAAUUUUCUCUUGCUUUUCUCUUUUUUCUCUUUAUUACCUAUUCUUGAAAGCAAUCUUUGUGUACAGAAUUUUUUUUAUUGAUAUUUUCUUGCUGAAAUGACAACAAUUUUGUUGAAAAUUCUCCAAUUGUGAGGGAUUCAAACUUCGGAAGUAAUAAAUUAAAGAUGAAUUAAUUUGUGAGGAAAGAUGGGUCGAGAAUUGCAUUAUAUGGAUAAGCAUAAAGCAUUAGAUUUUGAUAUGGUUCUAAUACAAUACAUUAGGGCAUUUGUAGGGGAUAAAAAAAACAAAUUGGAAAGAAGAAAAAUUGUCUACCACAAACCCCUAGAUCAAGUAGGAGUCGUUGACAAAGAGAACUGGUGACCAACCAAACAUGGGUUGGCUACAUAUUUCCACAAUGGAAUCGUUUAGGUAGAAUGUUGUCUUCCACAAAAUAGUAGCAAGAAGUGAUGCCUGCUUCUAUAUGAUGGAACCAUGCUCGUCUCCAAUAAGGAUUAAUAUACAGCACAAUGGCAAUACUCAGUAGCACCAUGACGUAGGACACAACAAAACUUACAUAAAAGACAUUCAUGUCAAUUGAGCCAUUGUCAGUUGAAGCCGUUGGCGUUAAUGAAGAUGGUCCAUCUGUUGAGCAAUUGUUUGGCAACGGUGGGCCACAAAGAAAACGAUUUCCCAGGUAGCUGCCUUCUUCGAAGGUUGCAAAUUGCGCGGUCCUUUCAGGUGUACUUCCGGAUAAAUUGUUGUAUGCCACACUGAAUGAAGACAAGUAAGUCAACCCCACAAGUUGAGAAGGGAUUUUCCCGCUCAAGUUGUUGUGAGAAAGAUCAAGACUCUCAAUUUGCUUGAGUUCAGAAACCGCUGGUGGUAUUGGUCCUGUCAAACUGUUGUGAGACAAAUUCAAAGCAAUGAUUUUUCGGAAGUCUUUUACUUCGUGGGGAAUCUCACCAGUCAACUUGUUGCAAGAGAGAUCAAUUCCAGAAAGUAAAGUGAGGACUCUUCCCUUGUAAGAGUAGGAUAUGUUUUUUGUUGUGAACUCUAUUGGCUCAUCAGGAGAGAAAGAACUGGGAGCUUGUGCAACAGCAGCAACAUAACGGACAUACUCUUGGGAUACAUCAUUCAGUGUUGUAAUCUUCAGGCAAGGAGGAAUUGUACCCGAAAGUUUGUUAUUAGAAAGAUCAAUCAAGCUUAACUGACCCAACUUGCAUAACUGAACCGGAAUCUCACCUUCAAAGUGGUUGUUAUUUAGGAGAAGGUAACUCAACUGAGAAAGCCUGCCAAUCCAAUUUGGAAUGCUUCUAGUUAAGCGGUUAUUACUGAGAUCUAAUGUCACCAAGAUAGUGCUGUUACGAAAUGCAUCUGUGAGUGGCCCUUGUAGCUUGUUUCUUGAUAAAUGAACUUGACUGAUCCAUAAAGGGCUGAAGCAAGAUGGCAGACUCCCAGAGAUACUGUUCACCGAAAGAUCCAGAAGUUUAAGAUUAAGAUUGAGCUGGCAAAACUCCUUGGGGAUUGGACCUUCAAGAUGAUUAUUUGCCAUGACAAUUUCUUCCAAACUUGACAUAUUCCCCAUCCACCUUGGUAUCCGACCAAAAAGUUUGUUCUUGCUUAAAUCUAAUGUUGACAAACUUGAAAUAUUCUCCAUCCACCUUGGUAUAUCACCAAAGAGUUGGUUAUCGCUAAGAUCCAAUGUUGUCAAAAAGGUACAAUUAGACAAACAAUCUGGGAUCCUUCCAGAGAAGAGAUUCCUAUCCAGUUGCAACUCCCUCAAGUUUAUCAAGUUAAAAUUUGAAGAGAACAUCGAGCCUUGCAAUCUGUUGUUUGACAAUAUAAGAACACUUAAUAAGGAACAGCCCAUUGCCAAGUGCUCUGGUAAUCCUCCUGUCAAUUUGUUGUUAGACAAGUCCAAGGUUCGUAGAGAAUUCAUAUCUCCGAUUGAAACUGGAAUGCUACCGCCAAAAAUAUUUUUUGACAUGUUCAAAAACCAUAAUGAUGGUAGUUUUGCUCCAAUUUCAUUUGGAAUGUUGCCAUAGAAGGAAUUUUUGGAGAUAUCCAACUGUGAUAAAGCUGUAUGUGAAAGGGAAGGUAACUGAAAUGGUCCCAGGAAAGAGUUGUUGGAGAGAACUAAUUCAUAUAAAUUUGUGUUGUUCUCCAACAACCAAUUUGGAAAUUCCCCUUUCAAAUUGAUGCUAGAUAGAUCAACAUGCCGCAAGUCAUGUUGAUGAUAGAGAAAUUGAGGAAAUGAUCCAACAUCUCCACAACAAGAUAUGCUGAUCUCAUAAAGUUGGAAUGUUGGGGCCAAAGAAUGCAUCUCGGUUUCAGCAUAUAUGGUAUUGUUGUCUGCAUCCAUGUACCAGAGUUUUGAAAGGUUGAACAAGGGUCCUAAUGAGCUUGGGAUUUCAAAGUAAUUGUUUGAAAGACUCAAUGUUUGGAGGGAUUUUAGAUUCCUAAGGACAAAUAUAUCUCCAGAAAAUUGAUUGGAUGAGAGAUCUAAAAUUUCAAGGGAUGUUAGACUCUCAAGAACAGAUAUAUUUCCAGAAAACUGAUUGGAAUAAAGAUAUAAACUUUCAAGCGAUGAGAGAUUGGAGAAGCACUCGGGCAAGUUACCCCUUAAAUUAUUGUAGCCAAUAUCCAAGUUUUGGAGAUUUGUCAAUUCACAAAAACCUGCAAAAGUAGCAUUAUGUUAAAUAAAUGAAGAAGGUGCCAUGCGCUGGAACAAAAAAAAAAAAAACAAUUAGUCUCUCCAUCCCUUAUAUUUUGUCACUUACUAACAUUUCAUAAAAUUUAGAGAGAUCAAAAGGAAAAGAGAUAAUACAUAAAGAAAAUUUAAAAAAAUUUGGUGUUUGUUUAGAACAUAGUAGGUUUCGUUACUUUUAAAAAAGUUAUGAUAAAAGGUAAUAUUAUAUAAGAAUAAUAUAUGAAGAGUAACAUUUUGUAUGGGAGAAUAUUUCAAAUGCAAAAGGGACAACAUGAGUAUAGGACGGAGUAGGGCUGUAAACGAGUCGAGCCGAGCCGAGUAGUGAGAAGCUCGAGCUCGAGCUCGACUCACAACUCGGAGUUUGAUACUCGGUUCGAGCUCGAUCGAGUUUUAUUUUUCAAGCUCGAGCUCGAUUCGUGAUCGAAUUCGAGCUACUCGAGCUCGUUCGAUUAAGCUCGAUUAAUAUGUAAAAAUAAGCUCGAUUCGUAUAUUCGACAAGAGUUCGAUUAUUCAUGCUCGAACUCGAACUCGGAUUCGAAAUAUUCUAUUUAAUUAAAAAAAAUAAAAAUAUAUUUAAAUAUAAAAGCUCGAUUAGACUCGCGAGCUACUCGAGUCAGAUAUAAGAAUACUCGAAUUCGGUUUGAUCGAUAAGUCGAGCUACUCGAGCUCAAGCUCGACUCGACAAUAAUCGAACUGAAUUUGAGUUUUUUUCGAAUCGAACCCGAGUAACUUGCGAGUACUAAUGUAUCAUUUACACCCUUAGGACGGAGAGACCAAGAACUGAAAUCAAAGGUAAGGUAUGUAUCAAUCUCAACCUUGGGAAUGUAAGGUGCCAUUGAGUCCGCAGUCCCAUAAUUCUAGAUUCUUGAGAGAAGGCAUUGCUCCAAUUUUUUGAAGAAAGUUGUUUUCCAGGGAAGUGUCCCAUAUGAACAAGGAUUCCAAAUUCUUCAAAUGAAUUGGACCUAUUUCAAUAUAUGUAUACACGGAAACGUAAGAAGAUAUAUUUAAAGUAACAAAAAAAAAAAGAUAAUAUCAUAAUAUGUAUGCAAUUAACAAUAAACUCGCAUCCUAUCAUAAAUUAAAACUUUAACAAUUGUAUAAAUAUUUAUUUCAUACUAUUAAGUCAAUUAAUUAAGAUGUUUUAUUUUGAAAGAAAAUCAAAAUACUUUUUUAAAUCUAGCAAAAAAAAAGUAAAAAACAUAUCAAUAAGCUUAAUGAAUUCAGAUAAAUAUUGUUAAUAACAAGAAACAAAAUGAUCAAUUAUUUAAAAUCAACAAAUUUCUUUUUUUUCUUGUUUUAUAUAUAUAUAUAUAUAUAUGCUAAACUAUUUUUCUUUUUUUUAUUAAUUACUAAUUUACAUAUGAGUGAUACAUUCAUUACAAAAUUCUUGUAAUUUUAAGUACAUGUAAUGCUCAUUUGAAUGGCUAAAGGUAAGAGACAUCCAAAAAAUAAAGAAAUAAAAUGGAUUUAUAACUAUAAAUUUAAAAUAUCUAAUUUAUCAUGUAAGUUAAGACUACUGUUGAUGUCACCAAAUAUUACUCUCAAAUUUUUAAGAGAAGUUAGCAUUCCAAUAUCUUGAAUAAAGUUAGAAGGGAGAGAUAAACCUUCUAGCUCCAACUUUUUCAAAUUUGUCAAAUUUUUUCAUUCUAUUCAAUCAAAGUUACGAAUUAUGUUUUGAAUUGAAAAAUAUAAUUACAAAUGACAAUCGAGAAAAUGAUACUACUACUUAAUAAGUAAUUGAAAAAUUGAAAGAUUUAUUUUACCAUGUAAAUUGAAGCUGCCAUUGAACUCACAAAAAUACACGUACAAAUUUUUAAGGGAAGUUAGCAUUCUAAUAUCUUGAAUAAAAUUGGAAGGGAAAAAUAAAUCUUCUAACAUCAAUUCUUCCAAACUCGUCAAAUUUUGCCAAAUCAAUGAAAGUUAGAAAAUUAUGAAAAUUAAGAAGUAUGUUAUGACAAAAAAUAGUUGCAAAUGACAACCAAUAAAAUAGUUCUCCAAAAUAAGUCUCAAGUAUAGUAUAUGCAUAUAAGUUAUGAGAUUUGGCCAACGAUUCAUGUCUUUUCUGUGAGGGUUGACUCUAUAAUGUGAUAAUUUAAAUCUUUGGCACUGCUUAAGUUAGGGAUUAUCAUAGAAAAAAGUAUAUGCAAAUAUAAAUACAGUCACUUUUGAUGACUCAUUUUAAUGGAUAGAGACAAAAGUUUUAGUAAAAGGUUCAAUAUUAAAUUUAACAUAUGUAAUAUUAUUUAUUUUUAUAAUUUUUUAUAUAUUAAUCAAAUUUAUUUACAUAAAAAGACUAUUGAUUAAAUUUACCAUUAGUCAAGCAUAUUUGAAAAAAUCAUUUAACAAAAGAUAAAAAUCACAAUGAAAAAGAAUUUUAGGGCAAAAGUUAACUAUUAAGUAUAUGAAAAAUUUUCUAUCUAUAUAUUGGAAUAAUAAGAGAAAUUAUGUUAAAAAAUUUUCAAAAAGUAUUCAAUUAUGUAAUAAGUGAGAAAAAUGGGAAGAAUUUAUAAGAAUAAAUAGGGGAAACAAAAUGAUUUGAUAAAAUUAAGGAGAAGGUGGAGUGGGGAAUAAAAUUUUAAUUUUUAUUGAAAUCUGAAAAAAACUUUAAAUCAAAUUAUGGAUAAUAUAUAUAUAUAUAUAUAUAUUUAUCCAAUGCCAUAACAUUAAAGUUAUCCCAUUUCAAUCUAAUAAAAGAAUUUGGUUAACAUGAGGCUUGAUGUUUUUGUCAUUUUCUUUUUUAAAAUAUUUUUCAUAAAAUUUUAUAAUUUUUUAUAUUUUUCAAAUAAUAUGUUCUAUUUUCAACAAAAAUAAUUCUAACAAAAUUAAAUAAUUAUUAAAAAUAAAGGAAGUAAAUAGAAUAAAAAUGAAAUAAAAUAAAAAAAUUGACAAUUUGAGUAAAAAAAGUUUUAAAUAUUUAGAAGUGAUAAAGAAAAGAAUAAAUAUGAUAUAAUUGAUUAAUAUAUUUACCUAACUUUUAACAAAAAAUUAAUAGAUAAAAAAAUAUUAAUCAACAUAAUAAAACAAAAUUAAAAAACAUUCUCCUUGUUUUCUUAAAUUAAAUUUUCAUAGAUUUUCUGGAUUGUCUCAAAAUUGUUUUCAUUUCCUUUAACACCUACAAUUCAUAUUUUAGAAAUUUUUCAUAUUUUUACUCUUUAGAAUUUAAAUAUAUAGUUUAUCAAUAUUGCAAAAAAAGUGAAGAAAUAAUGUUGAAAUAAUAAUAAAAAUUUUAUUUGGCUUAUAUAAAAAAAAUAAAAAACAAAAAUUGUCACACACUAUUAAAAUUAAGUUUAAAAUUAUCUAAACAAAAAAUUAAGUUCCAAAUUGGGAUUGAGGUGACAUGGUAAUAAAAGGUAUUUAAUUCAAAUAAGAAAUAGAUAAAGAGUAAAAUAAAUGUUUGACCAGUACCUUUCCCUAAUUGGUUAAAUAAAUGUAGUUAAUAAUAGUAAUUAUAAGAGAAAAACAUUACAUAUAAUCAUCAUAACUUACAAGUAGCCAGUGUUCCAUUAAAACUAACACCAUACAAUUGAAGAGUCUUCAAUGAUGGGAACAAGUCCAACGAUUGCGGUGAAAGGCUACAAGCUGCAAUUGAUACAAUUAUUACAACAUGAAAUGUAAAGAAGUUAGUAAUACAAUUAAAUCUUUCUGUAUGAUUUGUAAAUACACAUAUUAUAUAUUUUUAUUCCCCCAAAUUUAAAUUAAGAUGUACUUCCCUGUAAAAAUAAAUGUAGUCUUUUGAUUCAAAACAGAGAAAGGCACAAUAUUAAAUUACAAUCAAUUUGAAUUUGCUUUUAAUUUUUCUAAUGAAAAAAUAAAACAAAACCGUGGUGUUUUCAAUUUUGUGCAACCCAAAUUUCAUUAAUAAUCAGAGUUAGAGAAGUACAAUAUUGUCUAGCAAAAGUUUACAUAGACAAGAGCAAUUUAAUAUUAAUAUAUAAUUCAUUAACAUUACUGAUUAAUCACUUAAAUAAAAAAUUACCUAAAUGAAAGAGAGGGCAAAUGUUUCGAUUAGUUUGAAUUUUAAUUUCUUAAAGUUUUUAGACGUGUAAUUCAUUCAAACAUGCAUGAACAAAUUGAUGAAGAAACAAUUUUGUUUUAGCAGUACCUUUGGUGUAAUAGCAGGAUAUAAAUAGAUUCUCCAAAUUGCUCAAAGCAUCUAACCCUGAGAAGAAUCACAAAUAAAAAUAUAAUUAAAUUAAAUUAAAAAUAAAAAAUGAUAUUCUUGCAUUUGUGCUUUAAAGCAUAUACUUAAGUAUUAUAUAAUAAUAAAAUAUCAUUUAAUAACUCUAGAAAGAGAGAAAAGAAGGAGAGGGGGUAGUUUUACCUUUAAGAUUUAUUGAUCCGUUCAAGUUGUCUCCUAAAGACAAAGACUUUAGAUUUGAAAGCCUACCAAGGGAUGACAAUAUGCUAUAGUUGAAGAGAUUCCACCCCAAAUCAAGCACUUCUAGAUUGAUCAACCUUAGUUCCGUUUCAUUAUCUGUAUAACAUUAAUUUACAUAAUUAAUUUCAUUACUUUUUAAUUUUUUAAUUAAUUCUAAAUAAUUGAAAACUCUUUUUGGAAAAGUACAAAAAUUUCCACUGAAAUAUUCCAGUUUGUAAACAUGUAAAUUAUACAUUUCCCAACAAAUUGUGUUAAAUACCUUUGGAUGGAGCAAAGUCAUUCACUUGAUUAUCCGAGAUAUCUAAUUCCACUAAAUUAGUCAAAGCAUUCAAUUCUGAGGAUAGAAUUACAAAAAAAAAACUAGUAAUUAAUUAACAAAUCAUAUAAAACCCAAACAUAUAUAGAUUUUAAACCAUAUUUACCUUUAAUAUGUAUCGACCCAUCUAAUUUGUUUCUUGCUAUAUACAAAGACUUCAACUUUAAGAGCGCAGCAAUGGAUAAGAAUACGCUGUUGUUGAAGAGAUUUUCACUUAAACCAAGCACCUCAAGUUUGAUCAACCUCAAUUGUUCAUUCUGUGAAAGAUUAGUAACAUAAUUUUAUCUUCAAAAGAAUAUCUAAUUAUUAUAUAUAUUUAUUAUUCAAAUUCAUUAUAUGUUAACUUACACUUUGAAAUAAAGAUCCGAGACUCCCAAUUUGAUUUUCGCCUAAAUACAACUCCUUUAAGUUUGUCAAAUUAUUGAAUUCUGUUCAAAUCAAAUCAAAUAUAUAUCAAUCUAGUUAUUCCUUUUUAAAACCAUGAGAUUUUUAAAACAACCCUACCUCGCAAAUUAACAGUUCCUUUUAAUCCGCAAUUCUGCAAACGCAAAGAUUUUAAAGAUGUAAAAUCAUCUAGAUGUGAUAGGAUGUUGUUUCCUAAUACAUUGCCAUAUAAAUCCAGAGUCUCUAACUUGUUCAAUUUUGAUAACCUCUUCAUACCUGUUUUCAAUAAUAUUACAAAAUUUUAGUAAAUAAUCACUAUUUUAUAAAUAUAUAUAUCUCAAUUACAAAACAAACGUUAUUUACUUUAACCUGAUUUUUAUAUAUAACACAAUAUUAACAUUACCCUCUAUCAGAUUUGACCCAGUGAAUUGGUUUUUUGCUAGAUUUAAAGACCUGAGUGAUGAAAGUUUGCUUAAGGAUGCUAAAAUGCUAUCAUUGAAUUGAUUAACACUUAAGUCAAGGAUCUCAAGUUUGUCUAAUUUCAGUGACAGCUUUUCAAAACCUACAAGGAAAAAUGUAGCAUUUAGUGACUUUCCGAAAAAAUUGAAAUAAAAAAUAUUUAGAUAAGAUGAACAAAACUGGUAAUCAAUAAAAAUGAAUUUUCAAAUGCAAAAUACUUAUUGAAGUAGCAGUUAGUAAUUAGGUGAAUAUGAAUUAACCUUGAUUGUCAACACAACCAGCAAUAGAAUUGCCACCCAAAUAAAGACUCUUCAAUUCCUCAAAAGGAAGAAACAAAGAGGCAUUGAGAUACCAAGAAUCUCUCCCACUCCAAUCGUACUUUCUCAAAUAAUAAUUAUAAACUAAAUCACCAUAGACUUCAGUAGUUGUAAGAUUAAGGAAGAGUCGGAUCACUCGUCCAGUGGAGGUGUUGCACUCAACCCUUUUCCACUGACAACAAUCUGAACUCUGUUUUCCCUCAUCCACCCAAUAAUUCUUUACAUCUUUAAUAUGAGUAAAGAAAGGUUUAAGUUGCAAAAGAGCAAUUUUUUCUUGCUCCCAGCACCUUUCACAUUCACAACACCUUCCUAAUAGGAAUGCUACCAAAACCACCCAUAACCAUUUCCACUCCAUCUCAAUUAAUUAAUGCACUCUAAAAAAACUUAAUAUUAACUAUGCUGCUAUGCAUUUGGCAUCACUAUAUCCAUGGGGUUUAUCUACUAAAAAGUCACUUGAAAAGAUACAGCCUUGUUUCUUAGAAUUCAUUGAAAAUGGCACACUCAGUCUUGACGUACUUGUCAAAUUCCACAGCAUUAAGAAAACACAUUGCAUGAAGCUUCCUACAAAUUUUCUUUGUGGAAAAGUAAGCACAGAUUCUGACAAUUAUAAUAAACACUCCAUCUUAAUUAUAACAUCAUUAAUGUCUUGUAGUGACACUGCUAACAAAAAUUAUUGCUUACUUUUUUUUUCUUUGUAAAUCCUUAUUAAAACUUUUGUUUUGUUUUUUUAAUUUAAUUUUUUAGAAUACUUUAGUAUCCCUUUUAACAGCUUCAUUUUUUUUUUUGUUGCUAAAACAAUUUUAGGAUGUAUUCCAUAGUAAAAAAAGUGAAAAGAUGAAUAAAACAAGGUGAAAAAGUGGAAAAAAAUAAAUUUUCGCUAUGUUUGGUAAAAAAGAAAAAUUAAAAAAAAGAUUAUUAUUUUUCAGACUUAUUAAUGCAAAUAAAUCACUCCAAAUGUAAAAGAAAAGAUGAAAGAAAAUAAAAGAGGUAUGAGCAUGUGUUACAUAUUUAUAAAAUUAUCCUGUCAUAUUUAGAUUUUUUUACAAAAUGUUAUAAUAAUAAAAUCAUAUUUUUUUUCUUUCAUUUUCUAACUCUACCAAACAAUGAAUGAAAAAAAUUAUAUUUUCUUUCUUUUUCAUUUUUUUAACCAAGCUCAAUAAAAAUAAAAUAUAUAUUUUUUAUCUUUUCAAUUUUUUCUUUCAAUUUUUUAUCUUUUUAUUUUUCUAUCCCAUACUAAGCAAGGCCUCUAUUUAGUAAUUUUUUUUUUGUUUGCCAACCUUGCUAGGGUUAUUGCCAAAUUUCAUGUCAAUAUUAAAUAUUUCCACAACUAAAGGGAGACAUGAUGGCCCAUUGUAGCUUUUCUACCUAUAUCAAGUUAGGGAGGAAGAUAUUACAUAUAUUAAUUCAUUGUCAUGACUAGUUGAUGUCUAGACUUUUGUUUAGCAACUGUAUUAUUAUUUAGGAGACCUUGACUUUGGCAUCAACUAUGAAAUAGAACAAUGGAUCAGUCUACACGCCAACCUCAUGAUAGGAUGGUGGAUUCCUCCUCUCUCUUUCCUGGAAGAUAUAAAUUUGGUGUGGAAGUAGUCAAAUAAACAAAAAGUCAUCUUUAUUACAUUGUUUGCUGUGUUUCUUGCUUCUACUUGAUGAAUGGUUUAUAGUCUAUCAAAAGACUUUGACUUAGCGUCAAUUGACACAAAUUAUUUGCAAACUAAAAAACUAUCGGUUAUGCAAGGGAAUAAGAAUAUAUAAUUUAUUCUUUAUUUAAUUAUUGAUUUCAUUAUAUGAUGAUAUUUGUUUAUUUUUUGUUAAAUAUUUGAUAAAUAUGCAUUUUUUAAAACUUAAUUACUAAGAGAAAGGUAUACUAAUAAUUUUGUUAUUUUUCUCGGCUAUAAUUUUUUUUUAAAAGGAAUGUUAAAAUUAGUGGACUUUUUUUAUCAAGUAAAAUAGGUAUGGGUGUUUUAUUCCUUCCUCAAACGAUUUAGUUUUCAAUCUUGACAAAAAAUUUGGUAUAAUAUUUUUAAUUUUUUGUAAAAUUUAUAAACUUUAGUUAGAUUUUAAAAAAUUUAUACUGAUUUAUCCAAAAAAGAACCGAAAAUUUUUUUAAAGCUCCUGACAUAAAAAUUAUUAAAUUUUAUAAUUGCAAUGAGCUGCGACCAAACUCAAAGGAAGUUGGCUCAAGGGGAAUGAUCAGGUCUGAUCUAUUCCCAUAGUUGUAGACCUGCUCAUAGCUUUAGGUAAGGGAUUUGUCCAAAAUUUACUGUUAAAUGAGAAUAAAAUUAUCCCAGCCCCAAGAUAGAAAAAUGCGGGAGAAGUUGGUGUUCAAUUAUAGGAGGCCGAUAACAACAGGCCCUAUUGAUAUUGCCACGGCCCAAGAGAUUAAUGUUCACAAAUAGGAGCCGAAACUGCCUGGACCUCUUAGUUAUGAAGACGACCGAGCCCAAAGGUUCAUGGUGACUACAACAAAGAAAAGGCAGGCUUGGACUACUGUGAUCAUACAAUAUGGGCAGCACUGUUUCAGGACAUGAAGCCCACUUGACUUGACCAUACGUCUUUCUUAGUUUUGUCUGGAAAGGUGAGAUCAAAUGUUUUCUCCAAUAAUAGGGACAAGCCUUAUGUCUGGUAACAAUUGCUUUUUAGGUCCAAUAUUAGCAUAUUCAAGUAGUGUGGGACAGUUUUUCUGUGAUCAACACGCAUGCCAUAGUCUAUAUUCUUUUCGAGUUCAUCUAAUCUAAACUUUCAAGAACUAUAUACAUGCUUUAAGCUUUCUGGUUUCAUGGGAUCUUCAUUAGUUGUAAAAUCCUUCAUAUCGGCAACCAUCAUGCCUUGCAAUGAAAAAAAAAAUCUAUAGAUUGUGAGCUGUGAGCUUUCUUAGAACUUCUUUGCCGAUUUCAAUGUGUGCAUCUUUUUGUGCUAAAUGAAACCAGUUCAUGAACUGACUAUCAUAGUUCCAUCAGCAGACAUGCUCAGCUCAGCUAUGGUCUGAAAAUGAAGAUUAAACUGAUAGAAAGGAUGGUACCCAUAUCUUCAAUAUCGUAAGGUGUUUUACACUGUAUGCUGCUUGACAGUAAUGUUUUGAGGUGUAGACGUUAACUAGCGGCUAUAAAACAAUACAACUAGUUUCAUCUUCCAUUGCAAUGUGGUCGAUUUGGCUUAGUCGAAUUCUUUAAUUCUUUAACAUAUGUCUGCCAGUGCCUUCAAAGUUGCAAUGAAUGCCAACCUCUUUUAUUCAAUUUAACUAAACAUUGUAGCCCACGGUAUCUACAUUCUUUAAAUUCCUGUCCAUAAAUACAAAGAAAUAUAACCCUCUGUCUGUUCGUAUAAACAAAGGGCCCCACCCUGCUGGCAAAUACACAAGACAAUAAAUAACUAAAUAAAUAAAAACAAUAGCAAAAAUUAAAGGCUACACCUUGCUUGUUUUGCAUGGAUUCAGAGGUUUGCUAAUUCUUGACAAAAGUUGAAAAGCCUCCUUAAAAGUUGAGAAACAAUUGGGAUUAGGAGUUUUAUAGCAUUGGCCUUUUGCACUAGGAGAUGGACGACUUAAAGGAACAGGUAUGGUAAUUGGAAUUUUAGAUGUUUGCAAGAGUUGCUGAGAAUUUAGGAUACCAGUAACUAAUCACAAGAGGUAAGGAUUUAAUGAUGAUAAUGAACAACAAAUUUUAUGAAUUUAUAUGCUUGGAAUUUCUUAUAUAUUAAUGACCAAUUAAUGUAUUUGAAAGCUUUUAUGAAUUUACAUAAUAAUUCAAGUUGAAGGAGCUAUUAUCUAAAUACUUUUAUAGAAUAAAAAAAAUCAGAAAAGCAGUAUCUAAUAAACAAAUUAUUUAUUCUAAGUAAAUUGAUGAAGAUAUAUUGGCCAUUUCCUUACUGUUUUUUAGGCAAAAUGAAGAGAUUUUCGGUUAUAGAUCACUAAAUGUAUGCUACUGUACAUAAUUCUUUUAUGACAUUUUGUGUUUGAAACCAAAUGACUCAAUACAUAUAUCAAUAUAUAUAUAUAUAUAUAUAUAUAUAUUUUGAGGUUAGGCAGAUCUAACAAAACCAAAAUUCAAUGAAAAAAGGAAUACAGAAUUAGACAAAGAGCCCCAACAUGUCGUUUUCUUUUUCUUCUAGUAGAAGCACGAUAGAAAGAGUGGCAACUUAUCCAUUUGAAAUAACAACCAGCCAUGGCAUCACCCACCCUCUUGAUGCCAUUUUUGAGAAGAAUACAAACAAAUAUUUUCCUUAGCAGUAGGCCCUUUGAAGAAAAUCUACAAAUCAUCAAGAAAACUUCUUUUGAAGAAUUGUUUUCCUGGUUUCAACGUCAUCUGAACUGACCAAAUUCACAGGUUGGAUAAGAAGAUUGAAACAUAAAAACACAGUUUCUUCACAAAGAGACAAACAAUAUUGUUGAAUUCCUUAACGCCACUUGCCAACUCAUUGUCAUACACAUCAUUGUUUUGUAAGAACUAUGAAACAAGAACUGGCAUAGAGAAUUUUAAAACCUUUCAAAACUCCAAUCCAUCCUUAUCCUAUCAUGAAAGAAAAAAGGAAAAAACAGAUCGAAUCGAUUAUCAUCAUCGUCAUCAAUAAUCCCUCGUGGCUGGUUCAUGCACAUGGGGCUUGUCAAUUAUUGUCUUGACCCUCAAAAAUAGAAUGAAAAGUACUUCAAAAAUUUUCACUGACAUUGAAGAGCCCACUCGAAAGUGCGAAAUUAGUAAACUACAAUUGCAAAAUUUAGUACAUCAGCAUCAGCUCAUCUGAUCUGAAAGUUGUAAAACAAACACCAAUUCCUGAGUCAAAUGAUCUCUAAGAUAUUUGAUGAUGAUGAUGAUGAUGAUUAGAUCGAAGGGAAACAAUAUUUGGUUGUAUGGUGCUUACAUCACAGGGAAGUUUGAUCCAUCUUUUUGGCUUUGGGUGAGAAUCUGACAGGCAACAUGGACCUCCUCUCAACUGGCCAAAAACUGCUAUGAUCACUUGGAAAAAUUUUCUUUGCAAAGUAGAUAUGAAUGGUCCCAUAUGCAGGCUGUUGCAAAGCCAUCACAGCUUUCAUAUGGUAUGUGGGUUGGCCAGCGUUUUCCCUUUCACAAUUUGAAGGCUUUCAGUUUUCUGGACCCAUUUGGGAAUUGGGAGCCAUCAAAAUAAAGAAAAAAAAAGUUUUAAUUUUACAAAUUUCAUUAUUUGCGAGAAAUUAAGUUUGCGUGAUAGGAGUAUUAAUCCAAGUUAACAGCAUUUACAGCUAUACGUACGGGAAAAUUUUAAAAUAUAUAUAUUUUUUGAAUUGAUAGAUUAAAUUCUUUUUCAUAGAAAAGAAAUGAGUGAACGAUCAUUUCUAUUAAAAGAAAAAGAGUAGUAUAAAAUAUUGAAGAUUUAAUUAUAAAGUGAGUAGUUACUAAAAUUUAAUUAUAAAGAAAAUUUAUUAUUUUUUAGAUUAAUUAAUAUAUGAUUGAAAUUGAUAUUUAAAAGUUAUAGAUUUGAAUAAAUUUAAGUAUAUAAUAUUUUAUUCAACCACCUUUGUAAUUAGAU